AAUAUAGUGGCUGACAAAAGUAUUAGACUGUAAAUCUAAUUAUAAGGUUUAUACCUUCUAUAUUA
rnacentral:tRNA from 1 species